UACGUAGGGUGCGAGCGUUAAUCGGAAUUACUGGGCGUAAAGUGUGCGCAGGUGGCCGCGCAAGUCGAGUGUGAAAUCCCCGAGCUUAACUUGGGAAUUGCGCUCGAAACUACGUGGCUCGAGUGUGGCAGAGGAAGGUGGAAUUCCAGGUGUAGCGGUGAAAUGCGUAGAGAUCUGGAGGAACACCGAUGGCGAAGGCAGCCUUCUGGGCCAACACUGACGCUCAUGCACGAAAGCGUGGGGGAGCAAACAGG
rnacentral:rRNA from 1 species